CCAGAACACUCUUCUGAGAAGGGAGAGAUUCAGUUGGAGAGAUGGGAGAGCAGGCAUUAGCUUCAUCAUCUCCAACACAGCAGUGACUGUUAUUCACAGUGCAGCCACAUUGGAGAGUCUGUCAGUCUGAGCUGCUCUUCUCAGGCCAAGAUCAUAUUUUGCACCACCUUCUUAUCCUGGAGUGCUACUAGCAACAUCUGCUUCUGGAAACAGAUUAAUCAAGUGCUAGCCAGGCCUGGGUGUUUUUAUUCUAGCUGCAACCAAUUAUCUCAACUUUCUCAAUUAACUCAUCUUUUUGUUUAUUAGGACUUA